GCAGAUAUUCACAUUGCCCAACGACACACUUCUCUAUCCUGCUCAUGACUAUAAGGGCUUCACCGUUUCUACUGCUGGGGAGGAGAUGCUGUACAAUCCUCGCUUGACGAAGGAUGAGGAAACAUUCAAGAGCAUCAUGGAAAGUGAGUAAACUGCGCCAAAUUAUAUUCCAUGCUUUUUAUCUGGAAGAAUUACAUGCAUACCACUUCAUUCUUAUGUAUUUACAUAUCUAACACCUAAACUUCAAUUUCUUACUUCUAUGCCACCUUACCUUUACACGAAGAGGUGUAUUUCACUUUUUAUAAUUUAAAAUAAUGAUUUUUUUGAUGUUAUAAGAAAGAUUUUGGAUGCCAUAAAUGUAACAAGUAUAGG